UACGUAGGAGGCAAGCGUUGUCCGGAAUUACUGGGCGUAAAGCGCGUGUAGGUGGUGGGACAAGUCUGCUGUGAAAGCGCCUGGCUUAACCGGGCGAGGUCGGCGGAAACUGUCCGACUCGAGGACGGUAGAGGGGGGUGGAAUUCCCGGUGUAGUGGUGAAAUGCGUAGAGAUCGGGAGGAACACCUGUGGCGAAGGCGGCCCCCUGGGCCGCCCUGACACUGAGACGCGAAGGCGUGGGGAGCGAACGGG
rnacentral:rRNA from 1 species